rnacentral:rRNA from 1 species
CUACGGGGUGCACCAGUGGGGAAUAUUGGACAAUGGGCGCAAGCCUGAUCCAGCAAUGCCGCGUGAGUGAAGACGGCCUUAGGGUUGUAAAACUCUUUCGCUAGGGAAGAUAAUGACUGUACCUAGUAAAGAAGUCCCGGCUAACUCCGUGCCAGCAGCCGCGGUAAUACGGAGGGGACUAGCGUUGUUCGGAAUUACUGGGCGUAAAGAGUUCGUAGGCGGACUGACAAGUUAGAGGUGAAAUCCCAGGGCUCAACCCUGGAACUGCCUUUAAAACUGUCAGUCUAGAGACCGGAAGAGGUUAGGGGAAUACCUAGUGUAGAGGUGAAAUUCGUAGAUAUUAGGUGGAACACCAGUGGCGAAUGCGCCUAACUGGUCCGAUACUGACGCUGAGCAACGAAAGCGUGGGGAGCAAACAGGAUUAGAUACCCCCGUAGUC